GCCAGUUACAUGUGAAGUGGUUUGUUGGGUCCGGCUCCGAUCUGGAAGACUCCACGGUGCUGAAAUGACGAUGGAAUGCUCAUAAAUCCUCGUCCAUGUGAACUGAUCAAGAGCAUUCGUUAUUUAUGAUUGGGAUGACAUAAUGUUAUGUGCUGAUGGGUUCAUUAAUACAUCCGAGAUUGUGAUUUUUGUUGUGUGUGGAAUUCAACUUGCUGUUUUUCUAAUAAAGGUAAAAACACAGCGCAACAUAUUUACAAGCCUGAAACAUUCAAGAAGUUGUAGAAGAAACACGAGACCUGUUCAAACAUCAUUAAAUUAUCAAAGAACAUGAUAUAUUUCAGGAAUGGCUGACAUCAAUGUGGUGGCAAAAGUCUGAGCACCUAAGUUUUUUUCUAUUUGGCCUCAAAAUACUCCAAUGAACUAAUUUAUUAUUGCCAAGAGUAUUGUACCACUAAAGUAUGGAAACAAAUCAAAAUUGGAUGAAAAAAAUGUUUACAAUUUAAUUAAUUUUAUAUUGUUUAAAAGAUAUUUGUUACUUUUAAAUACAUUCUUAAAUAAAUAUUUUUGAAUA